AUGCAAGACAUUGUGAUUUUGACCUUGUUGGAUGCUGCACCUAAAGGUGGAUGGAAGAGGAAGUCUUGGGGGCUACCACUCGGACUGGAGAAGCUGGCACGAGGCUCCCUCUUGUGGAUGCAGCAAGGUGAACAGGGCAAGAAAUGGAAAGCGCAUCCAAUCCAGAGGCAGUGAGUAUAGCCUGCUGUGUUUUGUUUUGAAAUUAUUUGAGUUAUUUUUCUUGUACCUCCCAAGCUGCCUGUCACG
rnacentral:lncRNA from 1 species